rnacentral:lncRNA from 1 species
GUCUAUCCGUACCACUCUGUAGUAUGGAUGGUAGUGUCUUACUGCUCGUGUUGCCUCGGCGAAUAAGACGAGACCAAUGUUGCAAAGGCCAACACGUGCCCUCGCUGUCUCCCAUGAAAGGGUUCGCUGCGAUUCCGCCUUCCGCAAUUACAUCGCUUAUUAUUCUUUGUGCAACCGCUGUUUGCGAGCCUUCUAGAAGCCCUUGACCUGCUUGUUCACGAUCUCGGAAAGACCAGCGCGGUAGACUGCACCAAAGACGCAUUAUAUCCCCGUCUUGGCAUCGAAUGUUCACUGUGAUCCCAGGAACCUUUUUUCUGAUUCUCAGUCACCAUUGGAUGCAAGUCGUGGCUCGGACGUGCCACUGUCCAUGAUUCUGCCGUCUCGGCAUCCACGUGGGUAUUUGUUUUUCUUGCCAAAUCUUAGCACGAAGGCUUGUCCGAUGGUUGGCAGAACCGUGGAUACUCUCUAGUUGGACCCCCUCCUACUAUAAUAUAGUCAAUGGAUUCGAUUCGAGGGCCUCUCCAUUCGCAUCUUGGUUACGAG